rnacentral:rRNA from 1 species
ACUCAAAGGAAUAGACGGGGGCCCGCACAAGCGGUGGAACAUGUGGUUUAAUUCGACGCAACGCGAAGAACCUUACCUACCCUUGACAUCCUCGGAACCAUUUAGAGAUAGAUGGGUGCCUUCGGGAACCGAGAGACAGGUGCUGCAUGGCUGUCGUCAGCUCGUGUCGUGAGAUGUUGGGUUAAGUCCCGUAACGAGCGCAACCCCUAUCCUUAGUUGCCAACAGGUAAAGCUGGGAACUCUAAGGAGACUGCCGGUGAUAAGCCGGAGGAAGGUGGGGAUGACGUCAAGUCCUCAUGGCCCUUACGGGUAGGGCUACACACGUGUUACAAUGGACAGUACAAAGGGAAGCGAAACUGCAAAGUGAAGCGAAUCUUGAAAAAGCUGUUCGUAGUCCGGAUUGGAGUCUGCAACUCGACUCCAUGAAGUUGGAAUCGCUAGUAAUCGCGGAUCAGAACGCCGCGGUGAAUACGUUCCCGGGCCUUGUACACACCGCCCGU